rnacentral:rRNA from 1 species
UACGUAGGUGGCAAGCGUUGUUCGGAAUUACUGGGCGUAAAGGGCGCGUAGGCGGCUCGUUUAGUCGGGUGUGAAAUCCCGGGGCUCAACCCCGGAACUGCAUUCGAUACUGGCGGGCUAGAGACCGGAAGAGGUGGGUGGAAUACCCAGUGUAGAGGUGAAAUUCGUAGAUAUUGGGUGGAACACCGGUGGCGAAGGCGGCUCACUGGUCCGGUUCUGACGCUGAGGCGCGAAAGCGUGGGGAGCGAACAGG